GACGAACGCUGGCGGCGUGCCUAAUACAUGCAAGUCGAGCGCAGGAAAUCGACGGAACCCUUCGGGGGGAAGUCGACGGAAUGAGCGGCGGACGGGUGAGUAACACGUAAAGAACCUGCCCUCAGGUCUGGGAUAACCACGAGAAAUCGGGGCUAAUACCGGAUGGGUCAUCGGACCGCAUGGUCCGAGGAUGAAAGGCGCUUCGUCGUCGCCUGGGGAUGGCUUUGCGGUGCAUUAGCUAGUUGGUGGGGUAAUGGCCCACCAAGGCGACGAUGCAUAGCGGACCUGAGAGGGUGAUCGGCCACACUGGGAGUGAGACACGGCCGAGACUCCUACGGGAGGCAGCAGUAGGGAAUCUUCCGCAAUGGACGAAAGUCUGAUGGAGCAACGCGGCGUGAACGAUGAAGGCCUUCGGGUCGUAAAGUUCUGUUGUAAGGGAAGAACAAGUGCCGCAGGCAAUGGCGGCACCUUGACGGUACCUUGCGAGAAAGCCACGGCUAACUACGUGCCAGCAGCCGCGGUAA
rnacentral:rRNA from 1 species